UACAGAGGUCUCAAGCGUUUGUUCGGAUUCAUUGGGCGUAAAGGGUGCGUAGGUGGCGCGGUAAGUCGGGUGUGAAAUCUCGGAGCUUAACUCCGAAAUUGCAUUCGAUACUGCCGUGCUUGAGGACUGGAGAGGAGACUGGAAUUCAUGGUGUAGCAGUGAAAUGCGUAGAGAUCAUGAGGAAGACCAGUGGCGAAGGCGGGGUCUCUGGACAGUUCCUGACACUGAGGCACGAAGGCCAGGGGAGCAAACGGG
rnacentral:rRNA from 1 species